GCUGGCAGCUGUAGCUCCAAUUUGACAUCUAACCUGGGAACCUCCAUAUGCCACAAGGGUGGCCCUAAAAAGCAAAAAAUAAAAUAAAAUGAAGUAAAAUAUACAACAAAAGGUACUGUUAUUAUUCUGUAGCCAUGAUACACAAAUUAGGUAUGUUAAUUAUAGCAAAAGUCUUAAAAUAAACUUAGUAUAUAAUAAGUAUACGUUUGGCACCACCAAUGAAAAUAUUUUUACUGAUUUAUUUUUUUUCUUAGGGUAAAAAGAUAAUCCACCUUGUCUGUGUAAUUUCAGCCUUUUCAUUUUUUCUUUUUUUUUUUCUAUGUCUAUAACCUUUCCAUUUCUCUUUCUCACAGAGUACUGCAUUUAUUUUCAUUAUAUACUCAGCUGUUUCCCUAUAGUCUUAAUCCAUUUCUUCCAAGAUUUCAGAAUCAUUAUUGUUACUCUUAGGGACAGUAUCAGAAACCAUCAGAUACAGUUUUUACGUGUUUGUCUUUAAUAAACCACAAAUUGUCAGAGAGAGAAGACUUUAGCCGCCCAGGACAUGAUAUUUUCAUUUCUUGCUAUGUAAUGUCUCGUGUCUUUAUCAUUUUUUUCCAGUUACUAAACCACUCAUUGGCUUUUAUCCAUUUAUAAAAUAUCAUAUAUUCAUAUAUAUAGAAAGAGUAAAAUAGAAAUAAAGAAUAAAAUAGAAAGAGGUGGAAGUCAAGGAGAGACAUGCUAACAGUUACCAAACAACUAUAGAGAAUUCAUUCAGAUCAAAGAAAGUUGGGCGUUAUUUGACAGUCUUUAAUGGGAAGCAGCUGCUUUGGGAAGUCUUCUGGAAUAAUUUGUUCUACUCUAGACUUGCAAAGGACUGUGCCAUCUCCAAAGAAUUCAGAUCAUUGAACCUUUUUUAAUUUCCUUCUCCUGUUCAAUUCAAGAGAUGUGAUGCAAGGUGAUGUUUCAAUGGAUGUCUGACCGAAGUGUCAGGCUCUGUAAAUACUCUGUUUCCCGGGGUGAAGUGCUACAAAACGCAUAUUCAGUAGAGCAGAAAUAGCCUUGCCUUUCCCGCACUUCCUGUGGCUGCUGUAGGUGGAAAGCAAUGAAUUCAGAAUUCUCAUGUCCGUCAGGCCAACUUCCCAAUGAGCUUUGCUUCAGGCACCCUGGAUAUUGCCACAUGAUAACUAUAUUUCAUUUGUUCUCAGAUGUUUGCAGCUAAAGGGCUAUGUUUCAGGGCUCGCAUUUCUGCCGCACAACCAACCUUACCAGCUUCUGCUACCCGUAAAUAAAUAUCCAUCAGAAUUUGCUAGAAUUUAUUAUAAGAAUGGCCUUCUGUUUCAUGCGUUAUCAACAGCCAUGAAGCCUGAUUCCUAUCAUCUCUCCAAAUAAAACAAUAAAUUCAUGUUAUUACCUAAUAGUAAACAGAAAUCAUUAACAGAUCAGUGGAGGAAUUUUGAAUCUUGAAAAGGUGAUUCUUAGAGGAUAUUGAGAAAAACAGGAUUUCUAGGUAUUGUGAGAAACAGGAGGAAAAAAUGGUGUCGUUUACACCGGAAGUUACCGGCCUUCAAAUUCAUGACUACCAGAAAGUCUGAAAUUCAAAAGGCGUGAGUUCUCUUCUCUGCCACUGACUGUUGGAGACUCAGCUCUGAUCGAAUUGGAUGAAGAGACUUGUAGAUCAUCUGGCAGCUUCUCCCGUCCUUUACCUCACUCUCUCUCUCUUUUUUUUUCCCAAAAACAAAGUGCUGAGUGAUUGAUCAAGGCCUUCAAGCCUCCCACGUCCCUUCUGUCCCCCCCCUCCCCCCGCAAACACCUGUGCGGGAUCCUCAAUGUCCCCCUUUUCUCCUCGCCCAUUUCUGCAAAGAAGUGGACGUGCCAGGCUGAUCCCCCGACUGCGCGUUGGCUCCAUCUUCGCUUGAAUCCAGAGGAAGACUCUGGGGUCUUCUUCCAACAAUGACCUUUUCUCCUUUCUUUAAUUAACUUCUCUUCCACUUCCCAGGAAAGAAAAUCAAAUUGCACUGCAUCCAAACCCCCAUAGGUCUGGUGAUCUUUGGAAAAUACGUUGGCCAUCUUAUUAGGGGAAAAUAUAUGCAAAAGGAGAAAGAACAGAAUAAUGAGCUCCCAUUCAUGCCACACUCAACUUCAGCAGUCACAGAUCCUGGCCACCCUUGUUUCACCUCUACCUCCAUCCCUUGCCUCCCUGUCGGAGUAUUUUGAAACAAAUCCCAGAUAUUAAAUCAUGUCUAGUAUUUAUCAGGAAAAUAGAACUCUCAUGAAACAUAACAACGUCAUUCCCACACUUUAAAAUUAACAGGAAUGCUUUAAGAACCACAAGAUAUCCAGUUGAUGUUCACAUUUUCCCAGCUGUCUCGGAUAAUUUUUUAAGAGGGUUUGAGUCAAGAUUCGGAUGAGAUCAUCCUUUGCAAUUAGUUGAUGUUUCUCUUUGGUCUCUUCCUCUCUCUGUGUCUGUAACGUAUUUGUUGAAAAACCUGUAUGUUUGUUACAUGGAGUUUCCCACAGCCUGGAUUGUGCUGAUUUUGUCUUGUCGUGUCAUUUGGCAGGUUCUGAACCUAUGAGUCCUACAAAUUGGUGGUUGGAUUUGGAGGCUCCAUCAGAUUCAAAUUUUAUAUUUUUGCAAGAAAUGCCUUUUAGAUGGUUUUCUCUACCUCAGUGAGGAGACAUAUCGCUGAAAUGUGGUCAUUUCAUCAAUCUCUUCAUCCAUCCAUCUAUCCAUCCAUCCAUUUAUUCAGCUAUUCCUUCACCAAGCACUCAGAAUGACUCCUCACAGUGGAAAGAAAAUCAGCUUUGGACUCACACCUCUAAUAGGAAAAUGCCAUUCUGCCUCUUGCCAGCUGUGUGAUCUUGGAAAAUCUGCUCAACCCCGCUGAGCCUCAGUUCUCUGAAUAAAGAAUGACCAGGCAAUACUCUUUGAAAAUUGGAGACCAUUUGCAGCUGCUCUCUGUUGAGGAAAGUGAAUAAUAGGGUGCCCUCAAGGAAUUUCGAAGGUAUCACUCAACAGAAACUUUUGUGUCUGAAGAAAACUAGAUCAUUUUAUCAUGGUAGGCACAGUGAUAUGUUUGCUUUAAUAAAAUGCCAUAUUUCUGCCUUUAAUCUCUUGUCAACCAGCUAUUAAAAAGCCCCAAAGUGCAUGCGUGCAGCACAUGUAAACACUUGUGGUUUUGAGGUUACCACAGAACAUACUAAUAAAGCAUGUAAUUUGUGUUUUGUGCACAGACUGUAAUAAUUUAUUGAGUGGUAGAAAGAAGCUAAAGAAGGAUUUUCUCCAACGUUAGCCAGCAAGUCAAUUUAAUUUUAGGGCUCUAUGCAGAGGUGCAUGUAGACACAUGUUCAUACAAUGAAAUCAUGGGGAAACAGCAUGAGAAAGCCUCUAGAAUGAAAGUGGGGCAAAAUGUAAACUAAUUUCAUACACACCAAACACGUUCUAUUAAGUAUUUUCAUGUUGUUCCUUUAAGCUAAUCAGUUGGGAGGGUGUGCUGCGUAUUGUUUCCCGAAGCUGUGUAUGUUGUGUGUGUGUGUGUGUGUGUGUAUGUGUGUGUUGUGUGUUGGGGGGGGUAUGUGAGAUACACUGAGAACACAUUGGCGGAAUGUAGAGUAAGUUUAUUCAGGUAAACUGAGAUAAAUCAUCACAGCCAUCUUUUUAAAUUUUGUGGACAUGACCUCCCUAGCCCCUGUGGAAAGCAAGCAGACAAUAGCUUUGUUCCUUUUUAAAUACUGAAUAACAAAAUGUGGAAAAGUCGAAUCACUUUUAUAGGAUCAUGGAAGAACUUACUGUCUGACUACAGUUUCUAACAUGUUUCUUGGAGCAGGUGAUGGAUCUGUUUAUGCAAGACCCUCUUAAGUCAGGAUUGCAUGUUGGUUUCACGAAACAUCCUUCGUGAAAUACCUUGUUCCCCACUCACAAGAAAUGCAGAUCUUGAAUAGAAAAGCCUUGAGCGCAAGGACAAAAUGAGAACCUCACUGUAUCCAUGCCAAUUUCUGGAAAAUUUUGUGAAAUUCUGUAGUUUGGGAAUAAAACCAUACUUUAUUUAUGCAGACAAACAAAAACAUGUUCAGUUUAGAGAAAACGUCUGUGCCCAGAGGAAAUGGGUCUUAGAAAGUCUAAAUGUGUUUAUUCCAAAAAGAUACAAGGCUUCUGGCCUGGAAAGCAAUUCACCAUUAUCUACGCUUUUUUUCCUCUUAAAAUGUAUAUUCAUAGGUUUAUUUUCACUGCAGACAAAUCUUUUUGAAAUUUGAGGCUGAAUUAAAAUGAAUCCUUUGUGUCACUUUUAAGCCAUAACCCACUUCUUCAUUUGCUUAUCUAAUCAACCAAUUCCCAUUGACCCCUGGGGAUUGAAGAGCUUCCUGUGGCCAUUGGAAAACACAGAGGCAUUUUGUAAAUCUGUAAGGAGACAACAGUCCAAUGUGCCUGAGAGCCGUCCUGUUUAGCACAGAAUUGAAAUUGCACCCAAGUAUUCAAGGCCAAUCAAACCUGGGAAGGAGUUUUUUAGAAGAGACUCAGCCAGUUUUCUAGCCUCAUGAGAAGGAAACCAUCCUUUCUGUGGCCUAAACUACGCCACUCUUGAAUCAUUUCCUCAUAUAAUAAAGACAUACAGAGAGAGGAGAGGGGAAGGAAGGGGGAGGGCAAAGGAAGGAAAGAGAAAAACCAAAAAAGAAAGGUGAGAACUAGGAAGGCGCAUUAUUCCAAUGUUUAUCUUGGAUAUAAUUGGCUGGUAGUAUUUUGUUUUGCAGUAACUGCAGCUCUGAAGGCAAUGUUCGUAAAAAGCCAGGAACAAAUAUUUUUGGGGUUAAUAAAAGUUAUAAUUUGGAAGAUUUUCAAUUGGCAAAGAAAUGUAACAGAUAUGAAAAGUAGAGACUAGCUCUGCACGCGGUUGAAUUAAAUCAAGCUUAAUUGGGGGUUUUUGGCUUAACAUCCUUUUUGGUAUUUUUCUGUGGGUUUCUCAACCCUGUGGGGAUGUCAGGUCAUCUUUCAUGAACUAUCUUUUAACUGAACCAGUGUCUUUUAACACACAUACAGAGGGGAGGAAGGGCUGGUAGACAGACAAGAUUCAGAGUCAAAACAAAGGUAGCUGCCGGGGUCCUGUUUAAAUCUGUAACUCUGCAAGUUUGCAAAGGUUCACACAUUUCAGACUUUGUUUUAUUUUAAUAUAAUGAUCAAAAUAGCUUCUGAAAUGUUUUAGAUGACAGAUACAAAAGAAUGAUAACAAUAGAGAAUAAUACAAAAGUGAAUCAAUUUGGAACAGUAGGUAUAGACUAAAUUAAAAUUAUUUAAAAAUCAAAUCAGUAUCUACUAUUUUCUUCUUUAGGACUUAAAAAAAAACAUUAUGCACAAAGGCUAUAAUUCCUAUUUACAGUAGUUAAUUUAAAAUAAUUUCACGAUUGCAAUUGGAGCCAUAAUUGUUACCAAAAUACACAGACAUCUCGGACAUCACAGGACAUAAUCCAAGUUGAGGCUCACUAAAUCUUCUGGUACCUACAUACAUGUGAGACCUAUAAAACUAGUUAUUUUUUUCCUCAUAAAUGAAGAAUAAAAGUAAUACUUUUUCUUUUUUUUUUAUCCCCACAGAGCUUAUAUGUAUUUCUUUAUAUUGAGGUAUAUAAUGAACUGACGAAUAAAAAUCUAGAGAGUCUGGAAGUUUCCCUUGCCCUUGACCAGGAACAAGCUGUGGACGCCUUUAAGAUCUGUGCCGAUGCAGGUACUGUUCCCCAGGUGAGGCCCAUGUAUUUGCACUUGCUCUUGAUGGCUUUAUUGGGGGUUCUCGGCUAUACGUUCAGAAAAAGGGAUUUCUACUUAGCAUUGACAAGCUAAACCAAAAGUAGAAUAUAUUCAUCAAUUGUUUUCCCCAGAGCAUUCUUCUGGCAAGAAAUGUCAACACUUUAAGCACAUGCCAGUGACCAUCUGUGUACAGAUGUCUAUAAGAGGCAUUUGUGGUUUGUCUCUUUCAGAUUAGAUUAAGGAUGCCCAUGAAGAAAGGGAUGAAACAACCUUUCCCUGUAGUCUGUGUCACUGCUUCCUCUAUAUUUUCUGAUCUAGGAGUAGCAGGUACCCUGGCUGUUUCUUGAAAUCAUACUUUAUUUUCCAAACAAGGGCAUUUGAUGCCUGAAAUUCCUGCUGGGGAAUUUAUUUCACUGACUUGCGUCUCCAAGAAAAAGGAAAUUGAAUGUAGCGGGGCCCAGAUUCAGCAUGAGAAACUGAUUCAGGAGUAGCCUUCUUAGUAGGAGGUGUCAAGGAAUCUUCCUAACAAAGCUCGCCUUUGCACCUUUGCGAUGGGAGAAAUCAAAGCACAGAAGUUGGAGCUGAGGAAACUGCCUCAUGGUCAGAAAGGGUGAUUCUGAGAUCAGAGGAUCUGUCACCUGUAUCACCCCCUGUAUCAUCCUCUGGUCCAGCCCUGUGAGAUCUGCCUGACUGUGAGAGAGGGAGAUAUGAGAGAGAGAGAAAAAUGUUUCUGUUUCGGUGGGAAUACAGCUUCGUGGCUGUGUAGUGGGUGAUCAUAUGGUUGCAGGAUGUCCCCAGGUGGCAGAAAGCUCAGCUCUAGGUGGCUUCUCAGAGGCCCUACAGAACCCAGCCCUGACUUGUUCUGAUUGCCUGUGGAGAGUUUCAGGUUCUAGAAAGUCCAUGAAGGGAAAUUUCAGUGGCAUUAAACACAAUGGAAAGACCAGGUUGGCAACCUCAGGAAGCUGGAGCAGAAUAGGACAAGGGCCAGUAUCUGAGCACUGACUCUGUGCCUGGAAAUGUUCUAAGUGUUUGUAUUAGGGAAGAGCAAAUCUGACUCCAUAUGAGUUCUGUUUCUCUCACUUUAACCUUGAUGCUCUGUUGUCUGUGCUUUGUCAUGCCGGCUCUGCCCCUUCUGUAAAGGAAUGUUGCCUAUAUCCUGAAAUAUACAGGGUAGCCUAUCUCAAGGCAAUGCCUUUAACAGUCUAACACUUUUCCGUUCAUACAGAGAUAAAAAGUUGCAGCACAGAGAAUAUUUGUUUUGCUGGAGGUUUAUAGGAACGUUGUGACCUGGCCUGUGUGGACAGUUGCACGAAAAAAGGAUUCCUACACCAACAAGUUUGCAACAACCAACCACCCCCCUCCUUCACCUGAUCUUUAAAAAUGCUUUGCUGAAACCCUUGGAGGCGUUCAGGAUCUUUGGCACAUGAGUCGCCCAUCUCCUAGCGAGGCCCAGCAAUAAACCUUCCUCUGCGCCAAACUCUGACCUUGUGUUUGGCUUCAUUGUGCAUUCGAGAACAUGUUAACUUUUACUCCUCAGAACAACUCUGUGAGUUAGAUCUCUUUAGUAUUCCCAUUUUUAUAGGCAAGACAAUGGAUGCACAGAGAGGUUAAGCAAUUCGACCAAUGUCACACAGCCAAAAGGGGCAGAGCCACUAUUUUAAACCAGGUAGAAGAGGAAAGUGAGUGACUUUUCUAGAAGCUGAGAAACAUUCAGGGUAAAUGUGAAGGAGGAAUUUUUGUUUCGAAGAGGCAUCUGGAGUGCUGAAAGAGCCAGGAAGAUUGUGAAGCCAUUUUUUUUUUUUUAAAGUCUUAAGUUAAUGUGGCCUGACAGCAUUGCUUUAGAAGCAGUAGAGCAGCAAAUACCUUUCUCAUACUUAGCCCCAUUGGGCGCUGCACUUGAAAUGAGCUCCAAGAGAACAGGAGAGGCAGAUGCAUGUCUCAGAUUCCUGGCAUCAUCAGGCACUGGUCCAGGUUGCUACCACACCCACUUUCAUGUCUGUUUUAUAGCUGAGGAAAUGGAUUCAGAGAAACUAAGCAACGUUCCGAAGUCCCACAGCGACAAAGUUGCAGAAAUGGGAUUCAGACUGCAGGUCUGAUAAAUUCCGAAGGCCAUGUUCUUUUUAGAAUACCGUAUUGCACCUCUCCAAAGAGAUAUACCAGAAAAAACAAAACAAAACAAAACCUGUGGACUUAUCAAGUAGACUUAAAUGUGGACUUUUUUUUUAAUAUGAUUUUUAUUUUUUUCAUUAUAGCUGGUUGACAGGGUUCCGUCAAUUUUCUCCUGUACUUUAACAAGAAAGCAUCUUUUUUGUUAAAAAAGUGACAUCUACAUCAAAUGUUUAAUGAUUGAAUUGAUAGUUCCCUUGAAUUAAACAUUCCUCAGAAUACAAUUGAUGGGGUUUUUAUUCAGCUCCUUAAAAUUACAAAGAAAGAACAUCAGCAGCACUAUCGCCAGGGAUUCAGUCGUUAACUGGAGGUUCUAACAGCGCAUCCAUCCGUGCUGCUUCGGAUUAGGAGGAGGACACGUCAAACGUGCAAAUUUGCCCAAAUGCCUAGAAAGUGCUUUGAAAGCAAGACUGUGACUGUUUGGUACAAACUGGUUGGUGAGCCGGUCAAAACCUCUGAUGCAGAAAGAACACCCUCAGCUUCACCGGGGCGGGGAUUUUCCCACAUGUUUAUAUUAAUUAAAUGACCUGCUUCUGCUAUAAAAUGUUUCUCCCACCUCUUCUCCUGGAGCCCACACGCUACGUCAAACCUCAGGUUUGAGAGUGCGGAGAACAGCUCCUGAGUUUAAUGAGUUAUAUGUGGAAAGUUGUUUGGGAAUCAAAUCCAUCGUCUCCGAAGACAGUUGGUAUAAUGAUGGCUUCCUUUAAAAUCCUUCCACUCAACCUCUCUGCGGAUUCAGAGAGCAGCCUGGGGGAGGGAGGGAAGAGAGGUUUGGUGUCAUAAGAACAGAGUUUUGAGUCUUUCAGUAAAGGGAGAGCACUUAUGAAAUCACAGAUUAGGAGCCACGUUUGUAAGUAAUGGGAAUAUUGGCACCUGUACCCUAGCACUUCUUAGGUGCCAGGCUUCUAAAUACGUUAGGUAUUUGUCAGGCUUUACCAUUCUGUGAGGUUCGUGCUAUAAUAGACCGCAUUUUACCAACACAGAGAUGUUAACUCAUGUGCCCAGAGUCACAUCUCUGAUAAAUGGAACCAGAAUUUGUCAAACAAGGAAAAACAGAUCCAGCCUUGUGGUUCUGAGUUUCACUUAAAAGGUACGUAUAUGAAAGGACUCUGUAAACGCUGAAGAGUGAUAGGUGUUUUGUUUUUUUUUAUGCUAAGUGAAAAUACCUUGGAGAAUAAAACAAAGGAGGAAAAAUAUCUUCCUUUUUGAUGAACGCAGGACAGCCCUCCACACAAUGUGGAGGUGAAUUCCGUCUUUGGGAAUCUUGCUCUGCUCUGCCCUGCCAGCAUUUCAUGCUGAUUCUCUGAGCUUCUCUGGCCCUUUCUCCUGACCUGGCUAAAUUCAGGAAGCUCACAGCUGAGGCCUCCUUGGACUUUUAGGGGGGACAGGGUGGUGCGAAGGGGGAGGUACUGUUUGUGUUUUCCUGAUGCUUUGACAGCAGUGAGGGCAAAACACGCAAAGCGCUGGGUCCGUGGUUUUUGCUGCAGUGGUUCAGGCCCCAUCACACGCUCCUCCUUCCCCUUCCCCCAGGGUUCGGAAGCAGAGGCGAGUGAUGGAGAGGGCUCCUUUGGGUUGUUUGGAAAUUGGGAACUAGCAGUGAUAUUUCCAGCUAUUGUUCACAACUGAAGUUAAAAUAUGAACUUCUGACUAUUUAGGAAGUCAAAUAGGAAGACCGAUUUAGAGAACAUUCCAAAUAGAAUUGCUCUUUUUAGAGUUUUAACCUCGUCUCACACUGAAACUUGACAGACCAAAGACUUAAAAGAUUAGACUUUCAACCUCAUAGAUUCAUAAUAUGGAAGAAACUUAAGUUCAACAAACACGAAAUAUUUAUUUAAUUUUAUAUACUUAUUUAUUUUGAACCCAGUCGCAUCUCAUGUUAUCACCUGCUGAAAUCAAGACGGUUCCUUUGGUUGGUGCCAGUUCGAAAUGUGUUGGAAUAAUUACCAUCACAUGUGGAUGGUGCCUUAAGACUAAAUUUAAUAUUUAUUUUCUUGGGGAACAUCAACUGUUGAAAGCAGAAAGCUCAAAUCACUGUUCUCUCUAGGUGAUACCAAUGAGAUUUUUGUGAAAAUGCACAUUUGCUACAAACCACCUUCUCUCAUCUUUCCCAAGACAGAGAUGUCUCACUGCAAAAAUGUCCCUGGUCUUUUUCUUAGACUCACUGGUGAGCCUUUGUGUACCUCAGUUCAAUCGCUCUCUCUUUCUUUCCUCUUUCUUUCCUCUCUCUUUUCCUCUUCCUUCCUUCCCUCUUUUUCUCUCUUUCUUUCUUUCUUUCUCUUUCCUUCCUUCCUUCCUUCCUUCUUUCCUUCUUUCUUUCUUUCUUUCUUUCUUUCUUUCUUUCUUUCUUUCUUUCUUUCUUUCUUUCUUUCUUUCUCUCUCUUCUUCCUUCCUUCCUUCGUCCCUCUUUCUUUUUUCCUUCCUUCUUUCUUUCUUUUUGAUAAAGCAAAGAGAGAAGUUUAUUAUUUCUCCUAAACAAAUGCUGGGUGAAGGGAAUUACCUUCAAAGCUCUCUCUCCUCUGCCUUCUGCUUGGCACAGGGGCCUCCCACUUAUGGCCUCAUCUGUCUCACGUCCUGUCACUGGCUCUCUCCCCCUCUUUACAUCCCAGCCGUCUGUGUUGCCAGGGAGUUCAUGGUGGUGCCCAUGGCAAACACUUCUUCUUGUGGACCUGGAGCCUGCAGUGUCUCCCCUCUUCUCUGCCCGAUUCCUUCUCAUCAGAACUGCCUGCUCCGGGCUCCAAGGAGUCUGUUCUCUCCCUUUCUGAAUGGAUGGGUGCCUUCCCUAGCAUCUGCUGCAUCUCCUAUUAUAUUUUAUAACAUUUUGGACAUUUUUUCACCUACUUUUCCUGUUGGUCUGUGACCUCCCUUAAUCUUUGAACAUCUCCUUUACACAGUACUUGAGGAUGGAUUUCCAUCUGGUGUCCCCUGGACACUAUAUUAGUUUGCAAACCAAGCUGCCACAGUAGGAAACAUGGGCAUAGGAAUGGUUUCUCUGCCGUCUCCCUGCUCUUUUUUUUUUUUUUUUUGACUAAAAUUUUAUUUUGAUUAUUGCCCUAGAGAUAAUCGAAGAGCAAAGGAUAAAAAAAAUAAAGGUUGAAAGAAAACAGGAAAAGUCCUUCACCAUAAAAGCGGUGAAAAAGCCAAAGUCUUCAGAAAACCUCGACUGCCUGUUAACAUGUUUAAAACAACUCUGGUAUAAAAUGAGCAGUGGCACCGACAGGUGACUCGGGCGCAGUUGAAAAUUUGUGAGGAUGGUGAGGACACCGAAAGUCUAUAAUGUGCUUUUUUUUGAAGGACGAAGGUCUUUUAAUUGACAUGUGAAAACCAGUAUAUGUUUGGCUCAGAGAUCUGUUACUAACUAGAUGCCAAAGAGGAAUGAUGACCUGGGACAAAGAACCUAGCCAAUAUGAUUGACAUCGGGCAGAGGAGGGCAUUGGGCGUUCCGAAGCCUUGCGCCCUCUGCUCAUCACACAUCGCACCAGCCGUCAAUGAAAGGAACAAGGGACGCCUAUGGGUCACCAUCUGGAAGACUCUCUGAGUUAAUACCGGGGGAUGGUGCCGUGGCUUUACUGUCUGAUGCGAAGAGAGGCUGUGAAGGGAGAUGGAGUGACAUUCUCCGGAUAAAGCAACAAUGUUUACGUCUUCAUAGUGAACUUUAGCCCCCCAAAAUCCUGUGCAUUGUCCACAUCUCACGGGGCACAAAUCGAGUGUGACAGUAAGACUUUGUCGUAAGUUUCUGCAACCACUUCUUAAAUUUCUUUUUCCCACUAGAACUUUAAGGCUACUCUUUUCCUAUUGCAUUUCUAUGAAAAUGAAAAGGUAGAUCUUAUCUUUCACCAGGGAGCCUUUCGCGUAUAUAAAUAAUGGCCAUAGCCAUGUGUGUUUGAUUUAUCGCUCAGACCGUAGCAGCGUGCUGCAUGGUCAUUGGUGUUCAAGGUUUAAGCGUCGCAUGUCUCCUAGUGGGACUAUUAUAUUUUAAGUAGAAUUCUUGUCAUUUAUUUUUCGUCUCUCCUCCUCUGUUUAAUCUCAGAUUAUGCCAUAAAGGUAACCAGCUGCAGAAAUGGAAGAGAGCUCCAAGUCCCGUGGAGCUGGCCACUCUGAAAAGGGCCGAUAAGAUCUUUGCAGUCUCAGCAGAGCAAGGCCAGAGGGCAAUGUGUGGUUUGCUUUAUGCUAACCAGAAUGUUCUCUUCUCAUGGCACACGAGUCAGUCCUGCUAAGAGGAGGACACGGUGUCCCAACACUAGAGCAGCUGUCUUUUUGCUGUUGUUGUUGUGAUGACGUGUGAGCAAAUCUAUAGCGCUUAAUUACAAAAACAUAUGAUGCCAGCAAGCUGAUACACUGAGAGAUUGAAAAUCGGGUUUGGGGCAUGUCCGUUUCCUCUGACGCUUCCAGUGUCACUGGCGGAACACAGUAUGGAUAGGUUUUUCUGGAAAUCGCCCCGGACAAGUUUAAUCCUUUUCUUAGUUCCUCCCAACACCAGGAGCAUUUUAUAACCAUGGGUCAUUUGUGGAGUCCUUUUCCUUGGUAAGUUAGUUAAUGAAAAUAAAACCUCUAGAGAAACUACACGAAUGUCUUGCUUCUGUGUAGAUCCAUUUAAUAUCUCCCCUCCUCCUCCUUUUUUGGAGAAAAGACCUCAUCCAGGGCUAUUUUCUUUUUCCUCUGACAGCAGGAUUGAAGUGAGUCUCAAUGUGGGGAGAAGGACAGAGAGUGUCUGGAAUUUCAAAAUAGAAACGUCAGAGUUUCAGAUACUGCAAAAGGCUUGAUUCAUCCGUGUCCAACAUAAAGGACUGAGGGCUUUUUAAACAGAAGAGCCCCUUUAAGGCAUUUAAAAUCUUUAACAUGCUUUACAUACCCAUUUGACACAUAUGACGUCUUAGAUUCAGCACAGCCUUGGCAGUUGAAGGAGCCUCUCCACCACAUUCACAAUAAGAGGUCAUUACACUUUCUUCUAAGUUGCCAGUGAUGGGAAGGGUGCCACCUCCUUUGAAAGCCAGACCUAUUUGCAUGCAAAGUAAUUCUUCAGGGGAGUUCUCAUCGUGGCUCCAUGGCAGCAAAUCCAACUAGGAUCCAUGAGGAGGCAGGUUUGAUCCCUGGCCUCGCUCAGUGGAUGAAGGAUCCAGCACGGCCGUGAGCUGUGGUGUAGGUCGCAGAUGUGGCCCGGAUCCUGUGUUGCUGUGGCUGUGGCGUAGGCCAGCAGCUGCAGCUCCUAUUCGACCCCUAGUCUGGGAACUUCCAUAGCGCAGGUGUGGCCCUGAAAAGCAAAAAACAAUAAAAAAAAAUAAUAAUUUUUUUUUAGGUAGUUCUUUCUUACCUGGAGCUAUUAUCUUCCUUUCUGUAAUUUUCACCUGCUUGGUUUUUGUUUUGUCCUCCAAAAGUCUCGGUGAAUGACUCUUCUCCACGGGGCCAUGCUUCAGAUAUUUAGAAAUGGUUUCAUACUUCCUUUCUUUUUCCAUCUCCUAUUAAACCUCUUCAAAAUUAUUUACUGUUACUCAGAAUUUUGCUCGUCAAAGACCUGUCGCUAAAAGGGAACAGGCACACAUAGAAUAUGCCUCAUGAUAUAAGAAUUUCAUAAUUAUUUUUCUCUACAAUUUUGCUAUUUCCAUUUCUGAAUACUUUUAAUUGUUAAUUUAACUUGGAAGAGAGUCAGCAAUUUUUUUUUCAUUUUCUUUCUCUUUUUUCCAGCUACUGUUGAAUUUAUUUCUGAAGUCUGUUUUUUAAAUUCUGAAUUGUAGUAUUUCUAAGCCUUACUUAAAUUCAGGGACAGAUCUCUUUGCUGUUCUUCAACCCCACACCUGAACAUUUUUUUUUCUUCAACUGUCUCUUCCAUUUCUUUUUCCACCUUCUUUCCAGGCAUUCUUUCAUUUUCAGAACUUAUCUUUCUUUCGUUUUUCUCUUUUCUGGCAUAUGGACUU